AAGAGUCUAUGAGUGAGUGGUAACUUAAUGCUGUCUUCUGUGAUUUUCUGUUUUUAGCUCAUCUAAUCCAGAAUAAUGGAGAAAGUCGCAUGGUUUUCUGCAGUGAGACAGUGGAGAGACAGUCCACAUCCAAGCACCCUGAAUGCAUCAAAAAUCUUUGAGAAACGAUCUCCCAAAGCUCUGAGGUGGCCUUACCUUCAUAUGGAGGACCCUAGAGGAUGUUAUAUAUCACAGAAAACCAACUAUACACCUGGUCCUCACAGAAGAAAUUGAAAAUUCAUGUGCAGCAAUCUCAAUGACCAAGGUUACCCAAGGAGCAUUUUGCCAUAUGGAUGAAUGUCUUGAAGCUAAUGGCCACCACUUUCAGGACCUCUUGUGAUUGCAGAGGCCAAAGGUAAUUUGUAUUAAUCCCAUCAGGUUUCAAUUAAUUUAUACAAGUAUUUCUUUUUC
rnacentral:lncRNA from 1 species